GCUCUCUGCAGCAACGCGCUUACGCGGUUUCGGUUGCGCCGCGUGAUCGCAACGGAGGCGCGCCAAACGUGAGUUUUCUCUCUGUCGGCACUCUUUUGCAGGGGCGGCGGAAGUUGAUUUCUAUCUUGAUUGGCGCUGUCUUAGCUUGUUUAUCAGCGCCGCUCACGAGGUAUUCUCGCUCUCUGCGGCAACGCGCUUACGCGGUUUCGGUUGCGCCGCGUGAUCGCAACGGAGGCGCGCCAAACGUGAGUUUUCUCUCUGUCGGCACUCUCUUGCAGGGGCGGUGGAAGUUGAUUUCUAUCUUGAUUGGCGCUGUCUUAGCUUGUUUAUCAGCGCCGCUCACGAGGUAUUCUCGCUCUCUGCGGCAACGCGCUUACACGGUUUCGGUUGCGCCGCGUGAUCGCAACGGAGGCGCGCCAAACGUGAGUUUUCUCUCUGUCGGCACUCUCUUGCAGGGGCGGCGGAAGUUGAUUUCUAUCUUGAUUGGCGCUGUCUUAGCUUGUUUAUCAGCGCCGCUCACGAGGUAUUCUCGCUCUCUGCGGCAACGCGCUUACGCGGUUUCGGUUGCGCCACGUGAUCGCAACGGAGGCGCGCCAAACGUGAGUUUUCUCUCUGUCGGCACUCUCUUGCAGAUGUGGCGGAAGCUGAUUUCUACCUUGAUUGGCGCUGUCUUAGCUUGUUUAUCAGCGCCGCUCACGAGGUAUUCUCGCUCUCUGCGGCAACGCGCUUACACGGUUUCGGUUGCGCCGCGUGAUCGCAACGGAGGCGCGCCAAACGUGAGUUUUCUCUCUGUCGGCACUCUCUUGCAGGGGCGGCGGAAGUUGAUUUCUAUCUUGAUUGGCGCUGUCUUAGCUUGUUUAUCAGCGCCGCUCACGAGGUAUUCUCGCUCUCUGCGGCAACGCGCUUACGCGGUUUCGGUGGCGCCGCGUGAUCGCAACGGAGGCGCGCCAAACGUGAGUUUUCUCUCUAUCGGCACUCUUUUGCAGGGGCGGCGGAAGUUGAUUUCUAUCUUGAUUGGCGCUGUCUUAGCUUGUUUAUCAGCGCCGCUCACGAGGUAUUCUCGCUCUCUGCGGCAACGCGCUUACGCAGUUUCGGUUGCGCCGCGUGAUCGCAACGGAGGCGCGCCAAACGUGAGUUUUCUCUCUGUCGGCACUCUCUUGCAGGGGCGGCGGAAGUUGAUUUCUAUCUUGAUUGGCGCUGUCUUAGCUUGUUUAUCAGCGCCGCUCACGAGGUAUUCUCGCUCUCUGCGGCAACGCACUUACGCGGUUUCGGUUCCGCCGAAUGAUCGCAACGGAAGCGCGCGAAACGUGAGUUUUCUCUUUGUCGGCACUCUCUUGCAGAUGCGGCGGAAG